AAAAAUGUUUCUUUCCUCAUAUCUUUCCUCCUCCUCUUUCUUUUUUUCUUUUAUCUUCGGUUUCUUCUCUCUACACUUUCUUUCUCUUCCUCUCCAGUGUCUACUACUAACCAAAAAAAUCAGAGGAAACCAAAAAUUCAGAGAGAGAUUAAGAGACAGCCAGAGAUCAACUACUCUAGAUUGAUUGAAAAACUAGAAAUUGAUUUUGAUUUUGUAAACCUAAAGUGAUUGAAAACCCACAGAAAAGUAGAAAUUGAUUUUCAACUCUUAGAAGAAGAAGAUUGAAGUCGAAGGAUCAAUUUCCUAGAAGUUCUAUCAGAAGAAGAUUGAAGUACAAAUCUUCGAAGAUUUCAGGUAUAAUUUACUUGUUUAUUUUUCUCUUUACAUAUUUUGGUUCAUUGUGAUUGAAGUAUGGGUCUAUCAGUUUUUGCUGGUGGUUAUAUCAUGUUGAUCUUUAAUAAGGGUUUUGAUUUUUUUCAUGUUUUGCUGUAUCAUGUUAGAGGAUUGUUGUAUCAUGUUUUGCUGGGUAUUUGUUUUGAUUUUAUUUUCUGUGGAUCUGUGAGUUUUGCUGGUUGUUGUAACAUGUUUGAUCAAAUAAAGGUUAUCAGUAUGUUAUGUGUUAAAGACAAGCAAAACUCACAUGCUUGAUCAAAGUAGAGGUUAUCAGUAUGUUAUGUGUUAAUGACAAGCAAAACAUAAGGGUUAUAAGUGUGGUAGAGGACUGUUGUAACAUGUUUUUCUUUUCAUGACAACAUACUUGAUAUUUAAUAUGGUUUUUUGUUUUGUCUCUAAAGUGAGUAUCUUAUUUUGAUGCAAGCAUUGAAUAUUUUGAGUCAGGUUUUUUUUCGUGAUCUGUUAUCAUCUUGUUCAUUUGAAUGGCAUCUGGAUGAGCAUAUGUUAUUCGUUUACUUUUCCAUUCAUAUUCUGGUAUGAUUGUGUGGGAUGUAUAGAUAAAUCAGCAAGCAACAUGAGUUAUAUGUGUUGCUGGCCUUAUGUACUAUCACCUAUACCGACGCUCAACGUUGCAUGCUAUUUUACUUUUACGUUGUACUCUAUUGACUUGUAUGUAUGAAUAUUCAAUUAUAUUUCUGGGGGAGGGGUCAUUGAUUGACAUACUAUAUUAUGUUUUGUUGUAGAAUAGUGAAAGUAGGUGACAAAGGUUGGAUGAAUGAAGAAGAUAGGUUUAGUGACGUAUAUAAAAAAGGGGUGUAUGAUUUUAUAGAUUUUGCAUAUAGUAAUAGGAUAAGAAGUUCAUUAUUAUGUCCUUGUCGUAUAUGUCGAAAUAAGAACUCUCUGUCUUUUUCCCUAGUGAAGUAUCAUUUGGAAGUACACUCAAUAGACAAGUCAUAUGUAAUUUGGUCUCUACAUGGGGAGAAAUACACCACAUUAGCAUCAGAAGUGCAGGAAAAUGUAGAGGAAAAUGUAGAUGAGGAAAUAUCAGUCGAGGAACAUAUAGAAGAUAAUAUUACAGAUGAACAAUGUGGGUUAGGGGAUUUUAUAGACAAGGCCUAUGGAGUAUUUGAAGGGUUAGACAAGGAUGCAAAUGAAACUGAUUUGCCUGACUUAGGUAAGAAAUACCACAAGUAUAAGGAGUUAGUUAAGGAAAAAAUUUAUCCGGGUUAUGAGGGUGAUGAAACAACACUUAGUGUAAUUGUAGAACUGCAACAUAUUAAAAAGAUGUUUGGUUGGUCAGGGAAUAGUGUUACGUACCUCUCUGGACGACUGAAAAAUGGUUCCCAGAAGGCAACACUUUCCCUGAAAAAUACCCAAAAACGAAAGUUAUGCUGAUAGAUCUAGGAAUGAAGGCUGAGUCCAUUCAUGCAUGUGUUAAUCAUUGUGUUUUAUUCCGAAAAGAACACAAAAAUGCAACUGUGUGUCCCAUCUGUAAACAAUCAAGGUUUGUGGUGAAAGAGGGUAAAAAUGGACCAAUAAUUACAAAAGAGCCUCGCAAAGUAUUGAGACAUUUUCUGCUUUGUAAGAGAAUUAAGAGAUACUAAAAAAUAUCAUGGAUAGCACGCUAUAUGAAAUGGCAUCAUGAAGCACAGACUUCUUUCGAGCAUAUGCGUCAUCCAGUAGAUUCGCUCCAAUGGCAAACUAUCAAGAAAAAGUGGCCGGGAUUUGCAGCUGAAGUGCGAAAUGUAUGGCUUGGUAUUUCGACUGAUGGUUUCAAUCCGCAGGGAAUUCAUAGUACUGGUUAUAAUUGUUGGCCAGUAAUCUUGGUGAUGUACAAUCUGCCACCCUCUUUAUGUGUGAAAGAAUAAUUUCAGAUAAUGUCGUUGUUAAUACCGGGACCGAAAGUGCCAGGUCAAGACAUAUGUGUGUUUCUUCAGCCCUUGAUAGAUGAGUUGAGAAGACUUUGGAUUGAUGGCUUCACUGCUUUUGAUAUGCAUCUGAAGGAAACUUUUAUCUGCAGAGUUAUUCUUAUGUGGAGUAUAAAUGAAUUACCAGCUUAUGGAAAUGUGUCGGGGUAUACAACACAUGGGUAUAAAGCUUGUCCUCAUUGUGCUGACGAAAAUGAAAGUAUAUGGAUGGGUCACUGCAGAAAAAUAGUGUACCUAAACUACCGCAAAUUUCUUAAGACACGGCAUCCGUUUAGGUCUGGCAAGUAUUUAGGACUGAAAACUGGAUAGAGAAGAACUGCACCGCAUCGAUUGAGUGGAGAAGAUGUAAUGCUAAAGACUUCGAACAUUGAGCAUAUUCCUGGAAAACUGUCCAAAGCUGGCAAAAAGAGAAAGAAAGAUUGUUACGAGGAAGUUGGUUGUGAUGAUGUUGAUUCUCCAAGUAAAGCUUUUUAUAUGAGGGCACGAUUGUUUGAUAUUCCGUCAUGGAAGUAUAAUGCUUACCGUCACUAUGUAGAUGUAAUGCAUGUUGAGAAGAACUUUACCGAGCAUUUGAUAGAUACCAUUCUCGACAUAAAGGGCAAGUCCAAAGAUAGUGUAAGAGCACGGGAAGAUAUGAAGAAGAUGAAUAUUCACAGUGGGAAGUGGAUCACUACAGAUUCUGAAACAGGCAAGGACAUUGUACCGGUUGCUGGUUUCUGUUUGAGCAAAGAAGAAAGAAAUGAUUUCUGAACGAUUUUGAAAAAUAUGAAGUUUCCUACUGGAUUUUCAUCCAAUCUUGGAAACAAUGUUACAAUUAAACCUCCAGGCCUGAUUUGUUUGAAGUCACAUGAUUAUCAUGUGAUUAUGGAAUACUUGCUGCCGGUGCUGCUCCAACAUGCUUUCCCGAGGUACCCAGACUUUCGUAAGACGCUUCACCAGAUGAGCUUGGUUUUCAGGAUUUUGUGUGCGAAAGCUAUAAUUAAAAGUGAACUUCAAUAGACCAAAUUCAUGGCUUCCGAGGCAUUAUGUGUGAUGGAAAAGUAUUUCCCUCCUUCCUUUUUUGAUAUUAGAAUUAAUCUUGUGGUGCAUCUGGCUGAUGAAGUCCUUGUAUGUGGACCCGUUAGAUAUCGAUGGAUGUAUCUGUUUGAAAGGGCGAUGAAGAGUUGUAAAAACUUACCAAGUAACAAACGUUAUGUGGAAGGGACAAUUGAACAAACGCAUCUUACUUCUGAAUCUGCGAGGCAUGCAUUGCUUCUUAGAUUACUUGAUUACUUGAUUGUUUAAUGUGACUAAUUAGAAUGGAAUCAAGUCGAAGCGGUUCUGAUCUUCUCGUUCAACUACGACGUCAUCCCAGCAAAAGGUAUCCAACAAAUCAAAAAAGCCGAAGAUGUAUAUCAGUGUCAAUUUUGCUGGCAAGAUCAUAGGAGAUAAGAUUGCCACUGCGAGAUUCGCUACUAAAAUUGGAGAUCUCGUACGGAGUCGUAUUCCUAUAUCAUAUAAGGAAUGGAGGUGUGUCCCGGACAAUUUUAAAGUCGACGUGUGGACUGCUUUGAAGAUAUAACACAAAAUUAUUUUACAGUUUUGUAUGAAUAUGGGUAAGACAGAUUAGAUCACUAGUGGAAAAGAGGGUUUCAAUGACCCACAUCCUCGACCCUCGAUGGCAGUCUACAGAUCAUGAACGGUCAAAACGGUCCUACAUUUAAUAAAAAUGCGGACCACAUCUAGGAGCAUUAAUGUUGGGCGUUGAAUAAUUUUUUUUUAUUAUUUUAUUCGUUGUCAAA